UACAUGUGGGGCAAGCGUUGUUCGGAAUUACUGGGCAUAAAGGGUGCGUAGGCGGCUUGUUAAGUCAGGGGUGAAAUCCCACGGCCCAACCGUGGAACUGCCUUUGAUACUGGCGAGCUUGAGUGCGUGAGGGGUAACCGGAACGAGUAGUGUAGCGGUGAAAUGCGUAGAUAUUACUCGGAAGACCAGAGGCGAAGGCAGGUUACUGGUACGCAACUGACGCUGAGGCACGAAAGCGUGGGGAGCAAACAGG
rnacentral:rRNA from 1 species